rnacentral:lncRNA from 1 species
GGCGCGAGAAUAGGGCUGCUGGUGGAUUGCUGGGCCGCGUUUUCUUAACGCUGGGCUGAAAGCGGGAAAAAAAAGAGCGCGCGUCCUGCCGGCUUGCUGGGCUAAGCUGGUUCGCCGACGGAGCACCGCGCGCGAGCGUGCAGUGGGCCGAAUUGGCCGCCUGCACAGUGUCUACACAGUUUGUUUUUCUUUUUCUUUUUUUCCCAGAAACUUUUUUAGUGCAUUAUUUUGAUUAAAUUUUGCAUAGAUUUUGUUGCUUUUCUCUCUAUAUUUUUUGUCCUGAGAUAAUUUUAUUUAGUGAACAGUAAUGUAUUUGAAUAGUUUCUGGAAAAUGGAAAUAAAAGUUUAUUAAAGUUUCCGCUACGCACUUAAAGUUAUUUAUUCAUUUUUC